rnacentral:rRNA from 1 species
UCGGGAAUUUUGGGCAAUGGGCGAAAGCCUGACCCAGCAACGCCGCGUGAAGGAUGAAGUAUUUCGGUAUGUAAACUUCGUAAGAAUAGGAAGAAUAAAUGACGGUACUAUUUGUAAGGUCCGGCUAACUACGUGCCAGCAGCCGCGGUAAUACGUAGGGACCAAGCGUUGUUCGGAUUUACUGGGCGUAAAGGGCGCGUAGGCGGCGUGGUAAGUCAUCUGUGAAAUCCCCGGGCUCAACCUGGGAAUUGCAUUUGAGACUGCACGGCUAGAGUGUGUCAGAGGGGGGUAGAAUUCCACGUGUAGCAGUGAAAUGCGUAGAUAUGUGGAGGAAUACCGAUGGCGAAGGCAGCCCCCUGGGAUAACACUGACACUGAGGUGCGAAAGCGUGGGGAGCAAACAGGAUUAGAUACCCAAGUAGUCCCUGAGCGGGCUGGCAAGGCGCAU